rnacentral:lncRNA from 1 species
GUUUCAUAAUUUUUUUCUUUAAAUCUAGAUCUAAAAGAAAGUAGGUUUUUUCUAAACUGUGUAAAUACUUGAUCUCUAUGAGUAUCUACUCAGGAUCAGCCUGGAAUAACCCUCUUUGAUGUUGAUCUUUUUUCUCCAAGAAUAUUCACCCUACAAAUCUGAACAAAGCUUGGAUCACAAUUAACUCUUUGAUUUGUUUCUUGAUCUUUUUCUUCUCUUUUUUAUUGUUCAUCUUUUCUUGAUUAUGAAGCAACAAAGGUCUAAAAACCAGAAAGAAAAAGGGGAUGCCCAAGCUCCUUUUGGGCAUGGAGAUGGAGGACGCCCAACUCCUUUGGGUGUUAAAUCCAAAGGAGAGAAGAGAGGGAGGCAUG